rnacentral:lncRNA from 1 species
AUAACUGAUCCUCAUCCGAGCUUCUACAAUAAGCGGCCUCCUUUCAACCUUCUGCAAGAACUAGACUCCGUCCGAACUUCCAUAGUGGAAGGAUUCCGGACGAGCUUCUACAACAGACAGGCUCCAGCAGUUGGAUUUCUACAACGGUCGACCGCCUCUAGUGUCUGCCGAACCUCCCCAGCCAUCAACCUUCAAUAGCAUCAGCUGGGCUUCAACAAUGCCAUCCGGACUUCCACAGGAUCCCCCAGACUUCUCCAGCGGACGAACCUCCCCA